UCCCUAGUAUCUCCAAUGGUAAAGAAUCUGCCUGCAAAGCAGGAGACCUGGGUUCAGUCCCUGGGUUGGGAA
rnacentral:tRNA from 1 species